CUCAAGCCCUCCAGUCACCGCAACAUUUUCCUGUUUCUCUCACUUCACCAGCUGACUCCAACCUCAGAACAAUCCAGCAGUCUCUUGGACUGCGUGUCAAGCGGCUGGGCAGGUUAAAACGCAAAUGAUUUUAAACCAGUUUGUAAAUUAAAGCGGCACAUUCCCAGCACACAGCCCGGCGUCGGACUCCAGCACCAGGUCCCUGCUUCGUCCGGCCCAGUACGAAUGAAGGCAGAGUUCCGCGGGCUGCCGUAGAGUUUGUCCAACUCUAGUUGGUCCUGAAUGCAAACAGAUUGGUGAGUGCUGGAAUGGGCUGCCAGGGACAAUAGCAGAAGUGGACAAGAUACUGUUUGCCUGGCUAUUAGGCAUGUGAAUCUGCAGGGAUGGAAGAAAAUAGAUGAUGUCCAGACAUUUAGUUUAAUUCGACAACGUGAGCAGAAAGGCCCGGUCCUGUACUGUAGCAUUCUGUGUUCUACGUCCCAGGGGGAUGUAUCUGUGUCCCAGGAAAUGUGUCAAAACACAGGAGAAGAUAGGCGGCUCGGAACAAAUAUCAGAGUCCCAGAAUAGUGGAAUGAGCCAACGACAUCUACUUUUUAAAAAUGAUUUUAUUUAGAUUCAGUGCAGGGUGGGCCCUUCCAGGCAGCCAUUCAAGCCCUUCAUCAAUUCCCAAUUUAACCCCAGACUAAUCACUGAACAAGUUACAAUGACUAAUUAACCUACCAACCGGUCCAUCUUUGAACUGUGGGAAGAAACUCAUAAUCCAUGGGGAGAACAUACAGACAGUGGCAGAACUGAACGCUGAACUGUUGGCAUCCUGAGCUGUAAAAGUGUCACGCUAACCAUUACACAGCCAUAGCACCAUAUAUAAAUGCACCUUGAGAUGCAUUUCCUUGCAGGCCUUUACAGGAAAAUUAAAAAAAACAACAGAUUUUGUGAAAACUAUACAUAAUGACUGACAAAUGACCAAUGGGCAAAAGAAGUCAAAUUGUGCAAAUAAGUAAAUAGUACUGAAAGCAUGUGUGGUAGAAUUCUUGAAAGUGAGUCUGUAGGAUGUGGAAUCAAAGUUUCAUCAAGCAGGAAGUAUAGAAGCCUGAAGUCCCACACCACUAGAUAAGGGCACACUCAGGUUGGAGGAACAACACCUUGUACUCUGUCUGGGUGGCCUCCAACCUGAUGGCAUGAACAUCAAUUUCUCGAACUUCUGAUAAUGCCCCCCCUUUCCCCUCUCUCACCUUAUCUCCCUGCUUGCCCAUCACCUCCCUCUGGUGCUCCUUCCCUUUUUCUUUCUCCCAUGGUCUUUGCCCUCUCCUGUCAGAUUCCCCCUUCUCCAGCCCUGUAUCUCCUUCACCAAUCAACUUCCCAGCUCUUUACUUCACCCCUCCCUCCUCCUGGUUUCACCCAUCCCCUUGCGUUUCUCCCCCCCCCCCCCCAACCUUCUAACUCUGACUCCUCAUCUUUUUUUUCUCCAGUCCUGCCGAAGGGUCUCGGCCAAAAUGUUUUACCAAAUUCCAGAACAGCUUCCCUCCCUCAACCCUCCCGUGCAAUCACAAAGAAGGCAUGUCACUUCAUUAUCUCACCAGAUUUCUACAGAUGUAUUGUAGACUGGUUGCAUCACAGCCAGCUAUGAAGGAACACGAGGCUGCAGAGGUUUGUAGACUUCAUUGUCUUCAUCACAAGCACACCCCUCUUCCCACCUUCAAGAAGCAGUGACUCAAGAAGGUAGCAAUCAUAACUGAGGACCCUCACUAUCCGGUACGGGCCCUCUUCCUGUCUUUGACAUACUAUCAUUAGCCCGAAGACCCAAACUCACAGAUUCAGAAGCAGCUUUCUCCCCCCUGCCAUCAGAUUUCUGAAAGGUCCAUGAACACUAUCUCGUCCCUUGUUCUUUGGCAGUAUUUAUUUUUUGUAUAAUUUAUAGUAAUUUUAUGUCUUUGCACUGUACUGUUGCUGGAAAGCAACAAAUUUCAUGUCAGCACACAAAAAAUGCUGGAGGAAUUCAGCAGGUCAGGCAGCACAAUAGAACCAUAGAACAUUACAGCACAGGAACAGCCCUUUUGGCCCUUCUUGGCUGUGCUGAACCAUUUUUCUGCCUAGUCCCACUGACCUGCACCUGGACCAUAUCCCUCCGUACAUCUCUCAUCCAUGUACCUGUCCAGGUUUUUCUUAAAUGUUAAAAGUGAGCCCAUUUCAUCUGGCAGCUCAUUCCACACUCCCACCACUCUCUGUGAAUAAGCCCCCCCCCCCAAUGUUUCCUUUAAACUUUCCCCCUUCACCCUUCACCAUGUCCUCUGGUUUUUUCCUCCCCUAGCCUCAGUGGAAAAAGACUGCUUGCAUUCACUCUAUCUAUACCCAUCAUAAUUUUAUACAUCUCUAUGAAAUCUCCCCUCAUCCUUCUACGCUCCAGGGAAUAAAGUCCUAACCUAUUCAACCUUUCUCUGUAACUCAGUUUCUCAAGUCCCAGCAACAUCCUUGUAAGCCUCCUCUGCACUUUUUCAAUCAUAUUAAUAUUCUUCCUGUAAUUUGGUGACCAAAACUGCACACAAUAUUCCAAAUUCCGCCUCACCAAUGCCUUAUACAACCUCACUGUAACAUACCAACUCAAUACUUUGAUUUAUAAAGGCCAAUGUACCAAAAGCUCUCUUUAUGUCCCUAUCUACCUGUGAUGCCAUUUUUAGGGAAUUUUGUAUCUGUAUUCCCAGGUCCCUCUGUUCUACUGCACUCCUCAGUGCCCUACCAUUUACCUUGUAUGUUCUACCUUGGUUUAUGGAGAGGAAUAAACAGUUGAUUUUUCAGGACGAGACCCUUCAUCAAGACAUGUCAUAUAAAACAGUGAUAAUAAACCUGGUUCUGAUUCCAAUUCUGACUGUUUGGUUCUUGAACCAACUGGCACAACCAUAAUCACCACAGUUUAUCAACACUAGGGCCACUUAGCACUAAAAUAGACUUUGUAUUUUUGUUCUAAUGGUGUCCUUUCUUGUAAAAAUUGUGUAUAAUUUAUGUUUUUCUCGUGAUUGCUGGUUAUUUAAUGCUGUGUGCCUGUGAUGCUGCUGGAUCAUCAGUAGAUGUGGUUGAUGGAGACCAAAGAAGAGGCCAGUCCGUUCUCUGAAAGGAGAGGAAAUUAUGUGCCGGGCGGUGGAAUCACAUUGAACAUGGCAGAAACAGCAAAGGACAAUGCUUUGGAUACAGGGGCUGAAGGAAACUUGAUCUUUGCCUCGCUCAGUAGGAGAGGGAGCCAAGAGAAAAGGCCCAGGAAAUAGAGGAGAUGAGGAGCUGUCAAAUAUGGUGUUAAAUAUAAAGUUAUAUUUAAUGUGUUUUCAUAAAGUCCUUCUGAUACCUAUGUUGAAUUUGUGAUGAGAGCACUAGGUCAGUUCCAUAUGUUACCUAUUAGCAGUUCUGGGUUUUACACUAUUAUUUGUCAUUUAUUGGGGAAUUUGUUUCCUUAAGGUUGUUGUAGCCAGUGGGGGAGGGGUGGAAUGGUAAUGGGGACAAGCUCCCACUACCUAUUAAAUGCUCCCAAUGGCCUGCGCCUCAAAUAGUCUCUGAAAAUCAAGUCCAGCUCCUGGCCUUCAGGUGUGGCUUAGAUACUAAGCUCAGUGCAACCAUUUCUACUGACAGGAGAAGGGGUGAAGGUGGGUUACUGGCACCUUACAACCAGUCAGGCUGGUUGGGCUCAUCAGCCAUAUUGGCAGCUCAUCUCAGAAGGAAAACUGUGAUCUCAAACCUCUGCUGCCUUGUGGCUAUACCCACUCAUGGGGUAGGUUUCAGGAGUAAACUUUGAGGGGAAAAUCCAGAGCUGGAGUCCCUAAGGCAGUCUUGUGUCAAGUUCAACACUGACCGACAACUCCUGCUGGUGCUAAACUGCAUUGGUCUCUGCUGUCCCUUUGGGUUCAUCAGAUGCGUGGAGAGGGGGAGCUUGCUACAUGGGCAACAGCUUGUUCUCCAUGUUGUACUGCUCAGGCUUGUCUAUCUAGAGAGUCAGGACACAACAUCCACGGUCAACCUUGGUCAACGAAGGCCUCAGAAUUGUGAAAUUUAUUUCUCAGCAUUUGGUUCAGGGUGUAUUUAUUAUUGACAAAAUCAAUACUUCCAUUGGCUGUGAUGAGAUCUUGUGAGGGAUUAGUUCUUGCAGCUUGCCAAAUGGUCUAUGAUUAAGUAUAACCACUAGUCCAUUUCCUGAAAAACAUCCAAUUCAUGUUAGCGUGUAAUCCAAUUGCAAGCGACUUUGUUUAGGCUGAUCAUAAAUUACUCUUCGACCCUUUCUCAUAGUUUUGUGAGCUGAUUGCUCUUUGGAUGCACCAGCCAACAGGAUAGAUCAGUUUAGUUUAAGCACUAAUUUGUCACAUACCCUUUCAAACCGCACCCUGUGAAGCUAGGGUUCCGGAACUGAUUGGCAGUAUCAUUGGAAGGUUGAGUGGAAGGUUCUUAUUGUUUGUUUAGUGCUACUAUUUUCUAAUUUAUUUACGAUGCACUGGCUGAUUUAACUGUUUCAUUGCCUGAUCUGUGGUGGGAUCCUGAGAUGUGUUCUCUCCGGUAACUAACCCCCCCCUAAAUGUUUUGUGUUGAGUUAUCCGGUCGACUGCCAUCAAAGUGAGUCAUAGAGCAGGGAAACAGGCCAUUCGGCCCACUAAUUCCAUAUGGACCAGUGGAUACCCACCAGUAUUAACCCCAUCCUUCGGCACUUGAGCCGCAGUCCUCCGUUCCUGGGUGAUCCGAGUGCUCAUCUAUACACUCCCAAUGACUCUAUUCUCACUACUCCAGCAAUAUGUUCUAGGUACUCACCAUUCUCUGGAUGAUGAACUACCCCUCAGAUCCCCUCCUAAUCUUUUACCCCCCCCCACCCCUUUACCUAAGACCUAUGCUUCUAGUUUUAUUUAAUUCUGAAAGGAGAAAGGUUCCUGUCUAUACCCUUCAUAAUUUAGAUACCUCUUUUACGUCCUCUCCCAACCUCAGUGAGAAUAGUGCCAUCUCUCCUCAUCACUGAAACCCAGGCAACAUCCUGCUGAAUCCCCUCUGCACUCUCACAUCUUUCAGGCCUAACCCGAAGCUUGAGGAGUGAUUCUGGUUAGAACUCGGAAUCAGGAUCAGGCUUAACUCUCACCACCCACACCCCUCUUUCCAUCAGCGGCGCAGCAGUGGAAACUGUGAGCAGUUUCAAACUCCUGGGAGUCCACAUCACACACAAACCUUUACGGUCCCAGGACACGUCCUACACAACCAGGAAAGCUCACCAACAUCUCUACUUUCCGAGGAAGCUGAAGAGAGCCAGACUUUGCACAAAUAAUAUUCACAGCCUUCUACAGAUGCGCGGUAGAGAACUUCCUAACAUGCUAUGUCACCGUGCCAUGUGGUAUGGAAUCUGGACUGUGGUGGAGAGGAAGCAUUACAAUGGCUAGUCAAAACUGGCCAAUGUAUCACUGACACCAGCCUCCCCACCAUCAAAGAAAGGUGCUGGAAAAGAGCCUGCAAUAUCCCGCCCACCCACCCUGCUCAUGGACUGUUUGUCUCACUCCCAUCAGGGAGGAGGCUGCGUAGCAUCUACUUUACAGCCACCAGACCCCAAAACAGCUAAAUUCCCCAAGCAGUAUGGCUGAUCAACACCUCCGCCCACUAACCCACCAUUCCACAACCCCAACACCAUUGCUUCAUCAUUUCCCAUCAGUCACCUUAUAUACAGACACUCCUCUACCUGGUGUCACUUUAUGUGUAUAUAAUCAAUCUAUGGAUAUAAGCUAUUUUAGGUAUUUAUAUUUGUUGUGUUUUUUAUUAUUGUGUGCUUUAUUUUAUUGUGUUUUUUUGUGCUGCAUCAGAUCCGGCAUAGCAAUUAUUUAAUUCUCCUUUACACUUGUGUACUGGAAAUGACAUUUAACAAUCUUGAAUACGUCAUGAAAUCUGUUAUCUUGUGACAGCAGUAGAGUGCAAUACUUAUAAGGAUAUAUAAAAAAUAGUGCAGAUAGAGAGCAAAAUGGUGAGGAAGUGUUCGUGGUUCAUAGGCUGUUCAGAAAUCUGAUUGAUGAGAAGAAAAAGCUGUUCCUAAAGUGUUGAGUGUGUGUCUUCAGGCUCUUGUAUCUCCUCACUGAUGGUAGCAAUGAGAAGAGGGUAUGUCCUGGAUGUUGGGGGUCCUUGAUGUUGGAUGCCGCCCUUUCGAGGCAUCACCUUUUGAAGACAUCCUUGAUGGCGGGGAAGCUAGUGUCCGUGACGGAGCUGCUUAGCCUACAGCCCUCUGCAGAUUUUUCUGUUCUUGUGCAGUGGCACCCCCCACCCACCAUAUCAGAUGGUGUGGCAAGCAGUUAGGAUGCUCUCCACGUUACACCUGCAGAAAUUUGCUGCAGUCUUCAGUGACACACCGAAUCUCCUCAAACUUUUAGUGAGAUAGAGCCGCUGGCAUGCCUUCUUUGUAAAUGUAUCAGUAUGUUGGGCCCAGGAUAGAUCUUCAGAGAUGUUGACACCCAGAAACUUGAAACUGCUCACCUUUCCACCUUGAUGAGGACUGAUGUGUGUUCUGACUUUCCAGUUCUACUUUUGACUGUAUAAGGCUCUACUAAACUGUGCUGGGGUAAAUAAAACUGACCUCUGAUCCUGAAUUACUCUCAGCUGCUUAUUGGAGGUAACUGUCCGAGACGGCUCCAUCAGUUACUGGUUGUUGCGAGGUCUGCCUUGUCCUGUUCUGUCCAUUUUAACCUUCCACUGGUGCUGCUGUAUGCAAGGAUGAAGUGGGGGGGGGGGGGGCUAAAAUUACUAGCAUCUCCAGCCGGAGACUGGACCUCUAGUGGGAUGAGGGAGAGUCAGCCAUGACUGAAUGGCCAAAUUUUACUCCUAUGUCUUCUGGUCUUAUGGAAGAACGUAACACAGUCACUUGAAAAUAAGAUUGACGAUUUCGGGGCAAGGCUGCUCUAUCAGAGGCAGGUGAGACAGAUCUCAAUUGUUAGUUGCGUUGAGACUUGGUUAACAGCGAACAUAUCGGAAGCAGCUAUCUGACCAGAAGGUUUUACAAUUUUCAGAAUGAAUCAAACCUGGAAUUCUGGUAAGGAUAAAGGCAGAAGUGUUUGCUCUUUAGUCAAUUCUCAUUGGUGCAUAGAUGUUGGGUUUAUGUCAGCUUCUUGUUCCCCUGACUUACAGUUAGAGGUAGACCAUUCUAUUUGGCUUGGGAGUUCUCAUCCACGAUCCUGACUGCAGCUUACAUACCACCAGUGGCCAAUUAUAAGCAAGCACUCGCUGAACUGCACGAUGCUGUCUGUAAACAAGAAAUGCUCCAUCCCAACACAUGUCAAAUUAUAGUCGGCAACUUUAACUAGGUAGGCCAGUUUGAAGAAAACCUUGCCUAAUUAGCACAUAACCUGUUGCAGCAGAGGUCCCAACACAGACCACUGCUACACCACGAUAAAAGAAUGCCUAUCGUUCCUAGCCGAGACCACAUUUUGGCAAGUCAGAUCAUUUGGCUGAACUCCUGUUACCCGCAUACAGACAGAGCCUGAAGAGCAAGGGUCAAGAGAUCAAGACGACCAAGUGGUUGUCACGGGAGGCUGAGGAAUGGCUAUAGGAUGGCUUUGUGUCAGUGGACUGGGCUGUAUUCAAGAACUACUCUGAGGACCUGAAUGACUACAGUGGGGUCAUUACAGACUUCAUUAAAACAGCUGUGGAUGAGAGUGUACCCACAUAAUCGUUCAGCAGUUUCUCCAAUCAGAAGCCCUGGAUGAACAAUGAAAUCUGGAACCUGCUGAGAGCCUGAUCAGAGGCACUCAAGUCUGGAGAUCAAGAAUGCUACAAGAGGUGAGGGUAUGAUCUCUGGAAAACCAUCUCUUGGGCAAAGUGGAGAUUCCCAACUAGACUGGAAGCAACAAGGGAUGUUCGACAGCUGUGGCAGGGUUUGAAUACCAUAAACUCCUACAAAGUUAAACCUUGCGACAUAGGGGACAGAAGAGCUUCACUUCCAGAUGAGCUCAAUGCCUUCUAUGCUCGCUUUGACCACCAGAGCACGGGGAACCAUUGUGCACCCCCAUGUCUCCCGGUGAUCCUUUGGUCUCAGUAUCUGAAGAUGACAUGCUGGCUGCCUUCAAGAGAGUGAAUCCAAAGAAAGCAUCCAGUCCGAUCGAAGUAUCUGGCCAAGUACUAAAGACCAACUGGCUGGCGUAUUCACAGAGAUCUUCAACCUCUCGCUCCGGCAGUGUGUGGUACCCACCAGUUUCAAGCAGGCUUCAGUUGUACUGGUGCCCAAGAUGGUGUGGUAACCGGUCUCAAUGACUGUCGCCCAGUGGCACUUGCGUCCACAGUGAUGGAGUGUUUUGAGAGGCUGGUGUUGAAGCAUAUCAACUCCUGUCUGAAUGGUGACUUGCAUCCACUCCCAUUUGUCUACUGAAGCAACAAGUCUACAGCAGAUACCAUCUCAUUGGCUCUUCACACAACUCUGGAACAUCUGAACAGCAAAGAUGCAAACAUCUGGAUGCUCUUUAUCGAUUACAGCUUGGCAUUUAACACCAUCAUCCCCUCAAAGCUAAUCAGCAAACUCCAAGACCUGGGCCUCAAUACCCCCUUGUGUAAUUCGAUCUUGAAUUUCCUCACUUGUAGAUGCCAGUCAGCGAAUUGGCAAAAACAUCUCCUCCACAAUCUCCAUCAGCACAGGAGCACCGCAGGGAUGUGUGAUUAGCCCCCUGCUCUACUUGCUUUACACCACUGACUGUGUGGCUAAGUACAGCUCCAACACCACAUACAAGUUUGCUGACGACACCACUGUUGUGGGUUGUAUCAAAGGGGGUGAUGAAUCAGGGAGGGAGAUCGGAUACUUGGCUGAGUUAUGAAAUAACAACAACCUCUCACUCAAUGUUAAUAAGGCCAAGGACCUGAUUGUAGACGUCAGGAGAGCGAAACCAGAGGUCCAUGAGCCAGUGAUCAUCGGAGGAUCAGAGGUGGAGAGGGUCAGUAACUUUAAAUUCCUGGAUGUCACUUUCUCAGUGGACCUGUCCUGGACCUAUCAUAUAAAUAUUAUUGUGAAGAAAGCAAGAUAGCGCCUCUACUUCCUCAGGAGUCUGCAGAGGUCUGGCACGUCAUCACAAGCCUUGGCGAACUUCUAUAGAUGCAUGGUGGAAAGUGUGCUGACCGUCUGCAUUACAGCCUGGUAUGGGAACACCAAUGCCUUUGAGUGGAAAAUCCCUCAAAAGGAGCGGAUUCAGCCCAGUACAUCACAAGUAAAGACCUCCCAACUAUUGAGACAUCUACAUGAAACAUUGCUGCAAGAAAGCACCAUCCAUCAUCAAAGAUCCUCACCACCCAGGCCAUGUUCUUUUCUCGCUGCUGCCAUCAGGUAGAAGGUACAAAUGCCUCAGGACUCACACCAGCAGGUUCAAGAACAUUACCACUCCUCAACCAUCAGGCUGUUGAACAAAAGGGGAUAACCACACUCAUUUAAGGACUCUGUUAUAUUGUUAUUUCAUGCUUGUUACUUACAGCUAUUUAUUUAUACCAGUUUGUUUACAGUUUAUAGUUCCUGAUGUAUGCAGUUUAGUUACUGUUCUAUAGAUUUGCUAAGGAUGCCUGCAGAAAAAGAAUCCCAGGGUUGUAUGUAGUCUGAUAAUAAAUUUUACUUUGAACUUUGGUGUUCAUGAGCAUUCCCCCGCUUUGUCCCUCUGCCUGCCGGUUGUUGUGUGGGCCUUCUGGUUUCAGAUGGCACUACAAGGACUCUAAGAUGACAGUACUGAGGGAUUUCCACACAGCCUGAGGGGCCAUUUUUCAUUUGACUUGCUACUAGGUCCUGGUAGGGUGUGAAAGAUCCCAUGACCCAUUUCAAAGAAGAACAUUAGCUCACCCUAGUGCGGGGGUCGGCAACCCGCGGCUCCGGAGCCACAUGUGGCUCUUUUACGUCUGUGCUGCGGCUCCCUGUUGCUUUGGGAAAUAAUUGGUUGUGGCGACCCUUUUCCUGGCACAUCCAAACCGACUCACAAUUAGAUAGCCUACGGGGGUUUGCGAGCACAGAGCUUUGGAGCCUCUGCGCCAUGGGGGGCAGGUUGAGGGAGGCUUAAAAGUGAGGCUGAAGAUUUCGAAUAAAGUUUUUUCCUUCGACUGCA